AGCAGCCGCCGCGGUAAUACGAAGGGUGCAAGCGUUAAUCGGAAUUACUGGGCGUAAAGCGUGCGUAGGCGGUGAGUUAAGUCUGCUGUGAAAUCCCCGGGCUCAACCUGGGAAUGGCAGUGGAUACUGGCUCGCUAGAGUGUGUCAGAGGAUGGUGGAAUUCCCGGUGUAGCGGUGAAAUGCGUAGAGAUCGGGAGGAACAUCAGUGGCGAAGGCGGCCAUCUGGGCCAACACUGACACUGAGGCACGAAAGCGUGGGGAGCAAACAGGAUUAGAUACCCCUGUAGUCCCUGUCUCUUAUAA
rnacentral:rRNA from 1 species